AAAGUAGGGCACUAGCCCCCAGCACCCUGGUCAAGGUAGUGCACCAGCACCCUGAUCAAAGUAGUGCACUAGUCCCCAGCACCCUCAUCAAAGUAGUGCACUAGCCCCCGGCACCCUCAUCAAAGUAGUGCACUAGCCCCCAGCACCCUCAUCAAAGUAGUGCACUAGCCCCCAGCACCCUGGUCAAAGUAGGGCACUAGCACCCUGGUCAAAGUAGGGCACUAGCCCCCAGCACUUUUUAGCUGCAUUUACACAGUCAGCUGAAUUCUGAUCUUUUCCCCAAUUUUUGACAAAAUAGCUAAUUGAUCAAAAGGUGCAAUUAGUGGGAAGAAUAUUAUAAUUGUGUUGGCUGUGUAAACGCAGCCAUGUUGAAUUUGGUGUUUUAGAUGCAGUCCAGUGUAUUCUAUCCAUUCACUCAGCAGGUUAACAAAUCCAACAUCUGUCUUCACUUUCACACCUUUAUACAGAUUAUUCAGGAAGUAUUCAGACCCCUUCCCCCUUCUCCACAUUUUGUUACGUUACAGACUUAUUCUAAAAUUAAUUAAAUAAUCUCAUGAAUCUCAUCAAUCUACACACACUACCCCAUAAUGACAAUGCGAAAACAGGUUUUUAGAAAUGUUUGCUAAUUUUUUAAAUAAGAAACAGAAAUACCUUAUUUACAUAAGUAUUCAGACCCUUUGCUAUGAGACCCCAAAUUGAGCUCAGGUGCAUCCUGUUUCCAUUGAUCAUCCUUGAGAUGUUUCUACAACUUGAUUGGAGUCCACCUGUGGUAAAUUCAAUUGAUUUGACAUGAUUUGGAAACCAAGCCAUGAGGUCGAAGGAAUUGUCCGUAGAACUCCAAGACAGGAUAGUAUCGAGGCAUAGAUCUGGGAAUAGGUACCAAAAUAAUUAUUCAGCAUUGAACACAGUGGCCUACUUUAUUCUAAAUGAAAGAAGUUUGUAGCCACCAAAACUCUUCCUAGAGCUUUCUGCCCAGCCAUUGGGGGAGAAGGGCCUUGGUCAAGGAGGUGACCAAGAACCUGAUGGUCAUUCUGUGGAGAUGGGAGAACCUUCCAGAAGGACAACCAUCUCUGCAGCACUCCACCAAUCAGGCCUUUAUGGUAGAGUGGCCAGACAGAAGCCACUCCUCAGUAAAAGGCACUUGACAGCCCACUUGGAGUUUGCCAAAAGGCACCUAAAGAAAUCAGAUUCUCUGGUCUGAUGAAACCAAGAUUGAACUCUUUGGCCUGAGUGCCAAGCGUCACGUCUGGAAGAAACCUGGCACCAUCCCUACGGUGAAGUAUGGUGGUGGCAGCAUCCCUACGGUGAAGCACGGUGGUGGCAGCAUCCCUAUGGUGAAGCAUGGUGGUGGCAGCAUCCCUAUGGUGAAGCAUGGUGGUGGCAGCAUCCCUAUGGUGAAGCAUGGUGGUGGCAGCAUCCCUACGGUGAAGCAUGGUGGUGGCAGCAUCCCUACAGUGAAGCAUGGUGGUGGCAGCAUCCCUACAGUGAAGCACUGUGGUGGCACCAUCCCUACGGUGAAGCAUGGUGGUGGCAGCAUCCCUACAGUGAAACACGGUGGUGGCAGCAUCAUGCUGUGGGGAUGUUUUUCAGCUUCCAGGGACUGGGAGACUAGUCAGGAUUGAGGGAAAGAUGAACGGAGCAAAGUACAGAGAGAUCCUUAAUGACAACCUGCCCCAGAGCGCUCAGGACCUCAUUCUGGAGCGAAGGUUCACCUUCCAACAGGACCACAACCCUAAGCACACAGCCAAGACAACACAAGAGUGGCUUCAGGACAAGUCUGAAUGUCCUUGACUGGCCCAUCCAGAGCCUGGAUAUGAACCUGAUCGAACAUCUCUGGAGAGACCUGAAAAUAGCUGUGCAGUGAAGCUCCCCAUCCAACCUGACAGAGCUUGAGAGGAUCUGCAGAGUAGAAUUGAAGAAACUCCCCAAAUACAUGUGUGCCAAGCUUGUAGCGUCAUACCCAAGAAGACUUGAGGCUGUAAUCACUGCCAAAGAUGCUUCAACAAAGUACUGAGUAAAGGGUCUGAAUUACUUAUGUAAAUGUGAUAUUUCAGUUUUGUAUUUCUAAUAAAUGUAUAAACAUUUCUAAAAAAACAAACAGUUUUUGCUUUGUCCUUAUGGGGUAUUGUGAUGUCAUUAUGGGGUAUUGUGUGUCGAUUGAUGGGGGGAACAAUUAAUUCCAUUUUAGUAUAAGGUAACAACAUUUUUGGGAAAAAGUCAUGGGGUCUGAAUACUUUCUUAAUGCACAUUAUGUCUUGUUGUAUGGAAGUCUAUGCAUCACAUUAAAUGUGUCAUUUAGGAGACUCUCUCUUAUCCAGAGUCACUACAGUAGUGAGUCAUUUAACAGACUCUCUUAUCCAGAGACACUACAGUAGUGAGUCAUUUAACAGACUCUUAUCCAGAGACACUAC
ensembl:lncRNA